rnacentral:rRNA from 1 species
AAUGGGCGACAGCCUGAACCAGCCAUCCCGCGUGAAGGAAGACUGCCCUAUGGGUUGUAAACUUCUUUUCCGGAGGAAUAAAAUCCCGAACGUGUUCGGGACUGAAGGUACUCCGGGAAUAAGCAUCGGCUAACUCCGUGCCAGCAGCCGCGGUAAUACGGAGGAUGCGAGCGUUAUCCGGAUUUAUUGGGUUUAAAGGGUGCGUAGGCGGAUUAAUAAGUCAGUGGUGAAAACCUUCAGCUUAACUGGAGACUUGCCAUUGAUACUGUUAGUCUUGAGUACGGUCAAGGUAGGCGGAAUGUGUAAUGUAGCGGUGAAAUGCUUAGAUAUUACACAGAACACCGAUUGCGAAGGCAGCUUACUGGGCCGUUACUGACGCUGAUGCACGAAAGCGUGGGGAGCGAA